GAUGAACGCUGGCGGCGUGCCUAAUACAUGCAAGUCGAGCGAACGUACGAGAAGCUUGCUUUUCUGAUGUUAGCGGCGGACGGGUGAGUAACACGUGGAUAACCUACCUAUAAGACUGGGAUAACUUCGGGAAACCGGAGCUAAUACCGGAUAAUAUUUUGAACCGCAUGGUUCAAAAGUGAAAGACGGUAUUGCUGUCACUUAUAGAUGGAUCCGCGCUGCAUUAGCUAGUUGGUAAGGUAACGGCUUACCAAGGCAACGAUGCAUAGCCGACCUGAGAGGGUGAUCGGCCACACUGGAACUGAGACACGGUCCAGACUCCUACGGGAGGCAGCAGUAGGGAAUCUUCCGCAAUGGGCGAAAGCCUGACGGAGCAACGCCGCGUGAGUGAUGAAGGUCUUCGGAUCGUAAAACUCUGUUAUUAGGGAAGAACAUAUGUGUAAGUAACUGUGCACAUCUUGACGGUACCUAAUCAGAAAGCCACGGCUAACUACGUG
rnacentral:rRNA from 1 species